GAGUACCUACGGGGGGCAGCAGUGGGGAAUAUUGCACAAUGGGGGAAACCCUGAUGCAGCGACGCCGCGUGAAGGAAGAAGUAUUUCGGUAUGUAAACUUCUAUCAGUAGGGAAGAAAAUGACGGUACCUGACUAAGAAGCCCCGGCUAACUACGUGCCAGCAGCCGCGGUAAUACGUAGGGGGCAAGCGUUAUCCGGAUUUACUGGGUGUAAAGGGAGCGUAGGCGGUAAUGCAAGUCAGAAGUGAAAGCCCAGGGCUCAACUCCGGGACUGCUUUUGAAACUGUGUUGCUAGAUUGCAGGAGG
rnacentral:rRNA from 1 species